CCGCUAACACCACCAUCUCCCACACAACCGAUCGACCAUCAAACCACCCUCUCCCACCACCCCUUCAACCUGCACCACUCGGCUAACACCACCGUCUCCCCACCACUGAUCGACCAUCCCUGCAACCUGCACCAUCCGGCUAACACCACCGCACCAUCAACCACACCUAACUAUUUUUUGAAAUGGUUUCGCUACGUUGCAAAGAGGGCGACGAUGGUGGUAGCAACGGCGUAGGUGGUUGUGGUGGUUAG
rnacentral:lncRNA from 1 species